rnacentral:rRNA from 1 species
GUGAGGAAUAUUGCGCAAUGGAGGCAACUCUGACGCAGCCAUGCCGCGUGCAGGAAGAAGGCGCUACGCGUUGUAAACUGCUUUUAACCGGGAAGAAACCCCAGGACGUGUCCUGGGUUGACGGUACCGGAGGAAUAAGCACCGGCUAACUUCGUGCCAGCAGCCGCGGUAAUACGAAGGGUGCAAGCGUUAUCCGGAUUCAUUGGGUUUAAAGGGUGCGUAGGCGGAGCGUUAAGUCAGUGGUGAAAUCCUGCAGCUUAACUGUAGACUUGCCAUUGAUACUGGCGCUCUUGAGUGCGCUUGAAGUGGGCGGAAUGUGCCGUGUAGCGGUGAAAUGCUUAGAUAUGGCACAAAACACCAAUUGCGAAGGCAGCUCACUAAGGCGAUACUGACGCUGAGGCACGAAAGCGUGGGGAUCGAACAGGAUUAGAAACCCGUGUAGUCC